rnacentral:misc_RNA from 1 species
AUUUAUUCAUUUUCUCUUUGUCCUUUGUCGUCUGGAUUUUAUCGUCUUCUUUGACUAUCAAUCCCCAGAGUCGGCGAUCAUACUCUCCGCCGCCGUUGGCGGUUGUCGAUUCUGGCCGUCGAAGAUGGUUCUUCGGAGAGCGAUUCUGACCUCCUUUUUUCUAAUUUAUCUCUUAUUCUCUUCCCAAGCUUUGGAGUUCGAUUUCAAAAAAAGGCGACAUGAAAUCCAAGGACCUAUCAAGACUGUGGUGGUUGUAGUCAUGGAAAAUCGUUCCUUUGACCACGUCUUAGGCUGGCUGAAAUCCGUUCGACCUGAAAUCGAUGGAUUGACUGGGAAAGAAUCGAACCGGAUUUCGGUUUCCGAUCCGAACUCUGAAGAAAUUUUUGUCUCUAGCGAUGCUGUCUUCAUAGAUUCGGAUCCCGGCCAUUCUUUUCAGGCGAUCAGAGAGCAAAUUUUCGGAUCAAAUGACAGUUCGGCGAAUCCGGCUCCGAUGAACGGAUUUGUACAGCAGGCGGCGGCUAUGGACGAAAUCAACAUGCCGAGAACCGUAAUGAGCGGGUUCAAACCGGAACUAGUUCCGGUCUACACCGAGCUAGCGAACCAGUUCGCAAUCUUCGACCGUUGGUUCGCGUCAGUUCCGGCGUCGACUCAACCGAACCGGUUCUACGUCCACUCCGCAACCUCUCACGGCGCCAUGAGCAAUGUAAGAAAGGAUCUCAUCCAUGGCUUCCCUCAGAAAACAAUUUUCGAUUCAUUGGACGAAAAUGGCCUCACCUUUGGCAUUUAUUACCAAAAUAUCCCUGCAACCCUAUUUUUCAAAAGCUUGAGGAGGUUGAAGCACGUAGUUAAGUUUCACUCUUACGCUUUGAAGUUCAAAUUGCACGCCAAGCUUGGAAGGCUCCCAAAUUACGCGGUGAUUGAACAGCGUUACUUCGACGUCGAUCUUGAUCCGGCCAACGACGAUCAUCCGUCGCACGACGUGGCGCGUGGGCAGAAAUUUGUGAAGGAAGUGUAUGAAAUUCUUAGGGCAAGUCCUCAAUGGAAGGAAAUGGCACUGCUGAUUACUUACGACGAGCACGGCGGUUUUUACGAUCACGUUCCGACGCCGGUUUCCGGCGUGCCUAAUCCUGACGGCAUCAUUGGACCGGAUCCUUACUAUUUCCGGUUCGACCGGCUGGGCGUUCGGGUUCCGACGAUUCUGGUUUCGCCAUGGGUCGAGAAAGGAACAGUGAUCCAUGAGCCUGUUGGACCAACUUCUACCUCACAAUUUGAACAUUCUUCUGUUCCUGCCACUGUGAAAAAGCUUUUCAACCUAAAAUCCAACUUUCUCACGAAGCGAGACGCAUGGGCUGGUACUUUCGACCAUUAUUUGAAGCUUCGUGACCGUCCUCGGGAUGAUUGUCCAGAAACUCUUCCAAAGGUAAUGACACCACUUCGGCCAUGGGGACCGAAAGAACACGCAAAGCUCUCGGAGUUCCAAGUUGAAUUGAUCCAACUUGCAUCGCAGCUCAAUGGUGAUCAUGUGUUGAAUUCUUACCCUAAUAUUGGCAAAUAUAUGACGGUUGGUGAAGCCAAUAGGUAUGCAGAAGAUGCAGUCAAAAGAUUUCUUGAAGCUGGAAGGGUUGCUCUCAUGGCAGGGGCUAAUGAGUCUGCCAUUGUCACCAUGAGACCGUCCCUAACCAGUAGAACCGCAGCAGUGGACUCUGGUCGGUUUGUCGAAACGGUCUGAUUUGAUUUACCCACAAAGUUGUAAAUACAAUGAUUGGGGUGGAUAUAGUAUUGAAAACUCCUAUAUGUAUGUAACACGGUCAGCAUAGAAUAACUAUGACUAUUAUCAGACAAGUAUUUUGCUCUGUAGCCUAAGAAAAAGGCUUUGAUAUGAAUUCCUG